AGCCUGGCACAUUGUAGGCACUCAGUAAAUGUUUGUUGAAUGAAGGGCUAAAUUGCUCAUUUACUUUGCUUUUCCUGAUCUGAAACCCUGCAAACUGAGCCACCAC
rnacentral:miRNA from 10 species